UCCUCAGUAGCUCAAUGGUGGAGCAACCGGCUGUUAACCGGUAGGUUGUUGGUUCGAGUCCAACCUGGGGAGCCA
rnacentral:tRNA from 2 species